rnacentral:rRNA from 1 species
GCGAAUGGCUCAUUAAAUCAGCUAUGGUUUAUUGGAUCGUACCCGUUAAAUGGAUAACUGUAAUAACUCUAGAGCUAAUACAUGCCACAAUGCCCUGACCUGUGUCCUGCAUAGGGAUGGGUGCACUUAUUAGAUCAGAAACCAACCGAGCCUUGUUCGCAGGGCUCGUUGUCGUUCUGGUGACUCUGGAUAAUUGUUACAGAUCGCAGUCGGCCUUGCGUCGGCGACGGGUCCUUCAAAUGUCUGCCCUAUCAACUUUCGAUGGUAGGUGAUCUGCCUACCAUGGUGAUAACGGGUAACGGGGAAUCAGGGUUCGAUUCCGGAGAGGGAGCCUGAGAAACGGCUACCACUUCCAAGGGAGGCAGCAGGCGCGCAAAUUACCCACUCCCGGUACGGGGAGGUGGUGACGAAAAAUACCGAUGCGGGACUCUUCAAGAGGCUCCGUAAUCGGAAUGAGUGAACUCUAAAUCCUUUCACGAGGAUCAAUUGGAGGGCAAGUCUGGUGCCAGCAGCCGCGGUAACUCCAGCUCCAAUAGCGUAUAUUAAAGUUGCUGCAGUUAAAAAGCUCGUAGUUGGAUCUCGGUAUCACUGUUGCCUGCCAUUGCUUGGCCAGCUGAGUGUCGGGUGAUGCGACUGCAUGUCGUGUUGCCUUGGUGCUCUCCUGUUGUCGAGUUGGUCUGGUAGCGGUGCCACCUUUUAGCCAUGUCUGUGGUGAAAUACCCACAGGUGUAGGCAAGUGUCAGGCGGUGCUCUGCAGCUGUAGGGUCCGUCGGCUCGUCUGCAUGCCUUUGGAUGCCCUUUAAAAGGUGUCUGUGGGCGGAUGGCACGUUUACUUUGAACAAAUUUGAGUGCUCAAACCAGGCCGUUGUAGCCUGAAAAGUUUUGCAUGGAAUAAUGGAAUAGGACUUCGGUUCUAUUUUGUUGGUUUUCGGAUCCGAAGUAAUGAUCAAAAGAGACAGGCGGGGACGUUUGUAUGGUUGCGCUAGAGGUGAAAUUCAUGGACCGUAACCAGACAGACUAAAGCGAAAGCAUUCGUCAAGCAUGUUUUCAUUGGCCAUGAGCGAAAGUCAGAGGCUCGAAGACGAUCAGAUACCGUCCUAGUUCUGACCAUAAACGAUGCCAACUGACGAUCCGUGGUGGUAGUUUAAUAACCGUCCUCACGGGCAGCCCCCGGGAAACCUUUAAGUCUAUGGGUUCCGGGGGAAGUAUGGUUGCAAAGCUGAAACUUAAAGGAAUUGACGGAAGGGCACCACCAGGAGUGGAGCCUGCGGCUUAAUUUGACUCAACACGGGAAAACUCACCCGGGCCGGACACUGUGAGGAUUGACAGAUUGACAGCUCUUUCUUGAUUUGGUGGUUGGUGGUGCAUGGCCGUUCUUAGUUGGUGGAGCGAUUUGUCUGGUUAAUUCCGAUAACGAACGAGACUCUAGCCUGCUAAUUAGUGCGCCUGUCCUCUGUUCCUGUGUAGGCGGCUUUUGGCGCUACUGCCUUUCUAUACGAGGCUGUCCGUGCUGUUGCUCACGGUCGUUUAUCUGCUUGAUCGGUCCUGUUGUCGACGUUUGCUGGUGCCUCACGGUGCUGACGCGUUGAUGACGGCUGGUCUGUACGGCGGGUAGAUUGACUUGGGUUGACUGGUGCGGUGGCUUAGUUUAGGCGGUGGAGUCGGGGUUUGCUUCCGGGUACGGCGCAGGUGUCUACUUCUUAGAGGGACAAGCAUAUACAAAUGCACGAGAUUGAGCAAUAACAGGUCUGUGAUGCCCUUAGAUGUCCGGGGCCGCACGCGCGCUACAAUGACGGUGCCAACGAGUCUGACCUCCUGGCCCGAAAGGGUUGGGCAAACUGGUCAAUCACCGUCAUGUCAGGGAUCGGGGCUUGGAAUUGUUCCCCGUGAACCAGGAAUUCCUAGUAAGUGCAAGUCAUAAGCUUGCGCUGAUUACGUCCCUGCCCUUUGUACACACCGCCCGUCGCUACUACCGAUUGAAUGGUUUAGUAAGGUCCUUGGAUCGGUGCCAUUGUAGUGACUGCCGCAAGGUAUGUCCACUCGACAGGCGCUGAGAAGACGACCAAACUUGAUCAUUUAGAGGAAGUAAAAGUCGUAACAA